UCCGAUUUAGUCAUUUUUCUGUUUCAAAUAUUUCAAAUUUCUUGUCUAAUGAAGGAACUGAGUUUUAGAUGU
rnacentral:tRNA from 1 species